rnacentral:rRNA from 1 species
AGUCGAGCGGGGAAGAGUAGCUUGCUACUUGACCUAGCGGCGGACGGGUGAGUAAUGCUUAGGAAUCUGCCUAUUAGUGGGGGACAACAUCUCGAAAGGGAUGCUAAUACCGCAUACGUCCUACGGGAGAAAGCAGGGGACCUUCGGGCCUUGCGCUAAUAGAUGAGCCUAAGUCGGAUUAGCUAGUUGGUGGGGUAAAGGCCUACCAAGGCGACGAUCUGUAGCGGGUCUGAGAGGAUGAUCCGCCACACUGGGACUGAGACACGGCCCAGACUCCUACGGGAGGCAGCAGUGGGGAAUAUUGGACAAUGGGGGGAACCCUGAUCCAGCCAUGCCGCGUGUGUGAAGAAGGCCUUUUGGUUGUAAAGCACUUUAAGCGAGGAGGAGGCUACCGAGAUUAAUACUCUUGGAUAGUGGACGUUACUCGCAGAAUAAGCACCCGGCUAACUCUGUGCCAGCAGCCGCGGUAAUACAGAGGGUGCAAGCGUUAAUCGGAUUUACUGGGCGUAAAGCGCGCGUAGGUGGCCAAUUAAGUCAAAUGUGAAAAUCCCCGAGCUUAACUUGGGGAAUUGCCUUUCGAUACUGGUUGGCUAGAGUAUGGGGAGAAGGAUGGUAGAAUUCCCAGGUGUAGCGGUGAAACGCCCUAGAGAUCUGGAAGGAAUACCGAUGGCGAAGGCAGCCAUCUGGCCUAAUACCUGACACUGAGUGUGCGAAAGCAUGGUGGAGCAAACAGGAUAGAUACCCUGGUAGUCC